ACGCUCGACACCUACGGAGGCAGCAGUGGGGAAUAUUGGGCAAUGGGCGCAAGCCUGACCCAGCAACGCCGCGUGAAGGAAGAAGGCUUUCGGGUUGUAAACUUCUUUUAUUAAGGACGAAACAAAUGACGGUACUUAAUGAAUAAGCUCCGGCUAACUACGUGCCAUCAGCCGCGGUAAUCUGAGCGGGCUGGCAAGGC
rnacentral:rRNA from 1 species